CCUACGGGAGGCAGCAGUGAGGAAUAUUGGUCAAUGGACGAGAGUCUGAACCAGCCAAGUAGCGUGAAGGAUGACUGCCCUAUGGGUUGUAAACUUCGUUUAUAAAAGAAUAAAACGAGGCACGUGUGCCUUUAUGCAUGUACUUUAUGAAUAAGGAUCGGCGAACUCCGUGCCAGCAGCCGCGGUAAUACGGAGGAUCCGAGCGUUAUCCGGCUUUAUUGGGUUUAAAGGGAGCGUAGAUGGGUUGUUAAGUCAGUUGUGAAAGUUUGCGGCUCAACCGUAAAAUUGCAAUUGAUACUGGCAGUCUUGAGUACAGUUGAGGUAGGCGGAAUUCGUGGUGUAGCGGUGAAAUGCUUAGAUAUCACGAAGAACCCCGAUUGCGAAGGCAGCUUACUAAACUGUGACUGACAUUGAUGCUCGAAAGUGUGGGUAUCAAACAGGAUUAGAUACCCCUGUAGUC
rnacentral:rRNA from 1 species